CAGUAGCCGCGGGAAUACGAAGGGGGCUAGCGUUGCUCGGAAUGACUGGGCGUAAAGGGCGCGUAGGCGGCGAUCAAAGUCAGGCGUGAAAUUCCUGGGCUCAACCUGGGGGCUGCGCUUGAUACUGAAAGUCUUGAGUAUGGGAGAGGUGAGUGGAACUGCGAGCGUAGAGGUGAAAUUCGUAGAUAUUCGCAAGAACACCAGUGGCGAAGGCGGCUCACUGGCCCAUAACUGGCGCUGAGGCACGAAAGCGUGGGGAGCAAACAGGAUUAGAUACCCGCGUAGUCCCUGUCUCUUAUAC
rnacentral:rRNA from 1 species